GUGCAGCAGGCGAGAAUUUUUCUCAAUGGGGGCAACCCUGAAGGAGCGACGCCGCGUGGAGGAUGAAGGCUUUCGGGUUGUAAACUCCUGUCAUUUGAGAACAAGUGCCGGCAAGUAACUACUGCCGGCUUGAUAGUAUCAGAAGAGGAAGGGACGGCUAACUCUGUGCCAGCAGCCGCGGUAAUACAGAGGUCCCAAGCGUUGUUCGGAUUCAUUGGGCGUAAAGGGUGCGUAGGUGGCGCGCUAAGUCAGGUGUGAAAUCUCGGGGCUUAACUCCGAAACUGCAUUUGAUACUGGCGUGCUUUGAGGACUGGAGAGGAGACUGGAAUUCACGGUGUAGCAGUGAAAUGCGUAGAGAUCGUGAGGAAGACCAGUGGCGAAGGCGGGUCUCUGGACAGUUCCUGACACUGAGGCACGAAGGCCAGGGGAGCAAACGGGAUUAGAUACCCGGGUAGU
rnacentral:rRNA from 1 species